AUAAAUGUCUCAUGUGGAUGUGGCAAAGGUUAUUAAUGAAGAGGCAUUAAUGUUUGCAUACCAACCAUUAUCCUGAGUCUGGUCACAGGCACAUAUCUGUUGUCAGGGCCAGCCCAGAUUUCAGGGAACCCUCAGCACUCUGCCACACCCUCCAACACACACAUGCCACCCUUCCAAUGCAGCCAGACAGUAUUUUCUUUCUUCACUGCUCUCCCCACCAGGCCUCCACAUCGGUUUUCAAAUAUCAGUAGGCUGAGGUAUUGCAUUUUGGGUAAAUUAAGAUGGCAGGUGGUCACUGCAGAUGGGAGCCAAGUUGCCAACCAACACUAAAAUGGCCACCUGGAAACCCAGAGGGGAGAGCAGCAAGUAUCAGCACAGUUGGGCUGGGUUGGGGCAGAGGGUUGCCCUUCUGACCUUCUGGGACCCUCAGCCUGACUCAGACAACCACCGGUGCCAGGUCUGUCUGUUGUAAAAACCUGUGGGAUUAGUUGUGUCAGAACUUAUAGCACUGAUCAUCUUUUGAGAGUGUAGAAGAACUUCCCAUAUGGUAGUAGAUGCCAGUAUAACUUCCAAUAUAAAAUGUGAGUAAAGAGCUUCCACUUUAGGCAAUAACUUCAUAAAUAAUGCCAUCCUAUGGCUUUACGUCAAACUCAAAGCAACACAAUUGUAUUGUGCUAUGCAGUUCUUUAUAACGGGGAGGACUAACCUGUGGCCCUCCCAAUGUUGUUGGACUCCAGCUCCCAUUAGCUCCAGCCAGAAUGGCCAAUGGUCAGGGGAAAUGGUAGCUGUUAGUUCGACAACAUCUGGUGGGCAUCAGGUUAACCACCCUGCUAUAGAAUCAUUGAGCAGCAAACACUCCAAGGACAUAUUUGCAUUACAAUUUUUUUAGUAGUAUUAGGAUCAACAUCUCUCUCCCCCCCGCACUGCCCGCAUGAUGCAUAUGAUGUGUAACAGGCAGAAAUUCAAUAGAUGAAGCAUGUGGCAAUGCAAUAAUGGGAAAAGGUUCCCCUGUGUAAUUUCUACCUAUUGUGAAGCCAUUAGAGGCACAGAAGCCCUGAUAGAGGAAAAAAGGCGACAACUUCAAUAUAUGUGUAUAUCUAUAGCUUGCCAUCUGUCUACCUACCUACUUACCUAAGGUGUUACACACAGCAAAAUGGUGUAAUGCCUUGCUUAUGCCUAUUAAAAAAAUAACUUUAACCAUUUUUUUUUUAAAAAAAGCUGGCUUCUGGGAUAAUUACAACUUUUUAUGGUGAGCUUCAGUAAGCUACCAAGAAAGAAAAAGAUUGCUUCCAGAGAUUAAAAAAAAUACAAAACAAAAUAGGAAAAUUUGGUAACUUUCUAAAAGGUUGUUUUCCUUCCAAAAUGUUGCCUUUAAUCACUAACUGUUUUAUGCAGCAGUAAUCAACCAUCCUUCUUGAUGUGAUAUGAAGAUGGAAGGAUGUCGUGGGAUCAAAGUUAAAGUGUUUAUGGUUUCUUUUGGCCAAUCGGAGAGAGAGGCUGAGUGCUUGCAACUCUCAUUAAAGUCAAUCUGAGCUGAAAGCAUUUAGCAGGUGUUAAUUUUGUCCUUUGUCUUUUUUAUUUUAUUUUAUUUUAUUUAAAAAACCUCUGGAGAGUGGAGAAAAGCACAUUAGUGUCUCCCUUACAUUAAAAAAGCAGCCUGUUUCAUCCCGUGAUUAUUGUUCUAAUUACUGUCAUUUAAAUACUUCAACAACCUUGCAUUCUCUCUCUCAAAUCUAACACACAUUUGGUGUUGCUAACUCUCUUGCUUGCUAUUUAACUACUUAUCCAAAGAAAGAAAGGACUGAGACUGAGGUCUCUCUGGAUCUGUCUGAUGAGUGUUAAAUGCUGAGAUAAGUGGGCCUACGUAGGGAGAAUUAAAAAAAAAAAAGAUGAGUCGGAUGCAACAAUCCAAGAAAUCCCCCACAUAGUUGCAGGUCCUUGGUAUUCUUUCAAAAGUUAAAUAUAUUGUGAGAAAAUGAAGCCAUGAUGAUGAUGUGAUUCUGCUCUCUUUAAGGUUAAAACUUAUCUGAACUAAAUGUCCACAAUGAACUAAAAGUGCAAUCUCUGGAGACAGUGAAUGUGCCAUCUUUGAAAGAGCAAGUAGCUCAGCAGGAGGCCUUCUCCUUUGGGACUUUCCUGGAAAGAAAACUAUAUAAACCAUCCUUGGCCACCUCAAAACUCUGCAUCCACCAAAAUCCUAAAUAAAUUCUUUGGAUGUUGCUUUAGAGGGUUCUACCCUCUUAUCUCUGUUCCCCUAAAUAAGAGAAAAGCAGAAGCCUCUUGUUUCAGAGGAACAAAGCCUUCAAGGAAAUGUUGCUUUUGUAAACCACUUAGAGGUUCUUCACAAUCAAGCAGUACAUAAAUUCUGUUAAAUAAAUAAGAAAAUAGAGGACAUAUUUGAGCACAGCACUAGCUUUGCCUGCCAUUAUGAUAACAGAACAAUGACAACUGUAAUUGAAGGCCCUACAUGUGACAGAAAUGCAUGGUUUGAUGCUGUGCAUACCUUUUUAGAACUAUAAGCAGCAGGUGCUGGUCAGAACCAUGGAGCAGAGGGAGGAGAUAUUUAACCCUUUUGUCUUGCACUGAAGUUGAUCACCCAAAGCUGCUGUUCGGCAUGGGGAGCUUUCUUUCUUCCUGUGCCAUUGAUCUUCGAGGGGUGUGUGUGGAUUUUCAUUAGGACAUGGUAUGGCAGAAGAGUAUUAACCUCUACUCUGUGCACCCCAUGGGCUUGAUCUUGAUAGCCUCCACCAUCCCAGAAGCUUCUAAUUAUGAUUUUAAAAGAAACCUACAAUGCCAAGCCAUGCAUGUAACAUCCUGAAGAUCACCAGGCCGCGUGCAGUGUGGCUCCAGAAGACAAACAUUUGUGUAUAGUUUCAUAGGGUCGCCAUAAGUCGGGAUUGACUUGAAGGCAGUCCAUUUCAUAUUUUUUUUCAAACAAUGAAAUCAGUCUUGCUGAAGACCUAGAAAGCAAGAAAGUAGCAACAAAUGAAAUGGUACAUAUAAAAAUGCCCCCAAAUUGCGGGGUCACAGACCUGGCACUUGCAAAAGCCUUCAUGAUGCCCCCAAUAGGUGGCCUAGAAAUGAGCCAGCCUGGCUGUUCCUGCCUGUCUGUGUUUUUAGCCAAUGAGUGAAGUCAGUUAUUUUCUGCAAAUGCUACUAUGCCAUAAUUGUGAGUGAAUGUUAAAGACUCCCCCUCUACUUAAAAGCAUAUGUGAAAACUUUACAAAGAGGCUUAGGCACAUUGCCUGCUUUGCGGGAGCUAAAGACCAGAAACUCAUGGAAUUCACUGUAAGUUAAGUACACUGGUAUACAUGUCUACUGAGAAGUAACCAUCUUUGUGUUUAACAGGGUUUAAUUCCAGGUGAGUGAGUAUAAGAUGGCAGCCUAGGCUUUAGUUUAGGGUUGAUACUAGGGAAUAAUAGCUGUAUGGCAGGCAGAAAUUCAUCAGGUCAAGCCUUUUAUAUAUGAAAAUACAAUUAUGUGGAAAACAUCGCCACGACUACUCUCUAAUUUUGUAUUAUGUCAAUACAGAAUGGCAGCCAUUUUGUGACUGGUGCUCCCAGCACUCUCCCAAAAUCUGAAAUGUGCCUUCUGAUCAGAAAGGUUGGCAACUCCUAAUAUACAUGCAGGCCCUCCCUACAGAUGUCGAGCUACCCACUGUGUCUUUACUCCUUGAUCUCAUGUUGCCGUACAUGUAAUCAAACAAUGCCUGAAUAGGGCUCUUGUCUCCUAAAGUGGUUUCCAUCAACAGAAAAAAGGUGGCCCUGCCAUCAGGCUUCCAAAAAUGCACACAAGGAAAGGGAAGUGGAGGGGAAAGGUAGAGGUAGGAGAUCAAUGUUUUAAGGAACAAAUGAAAGGGUGACCGGUAGGGAUGAAUGGAUCAAUCAGUUUCAGUUUCUCAUUUUUACAGUCUUGAAUUCAGUUUACCACAAUUCCACAUUUGUCUGCAAAUUUUGUUUUAAAAAGUCCUCACGAAAAUCCAGCAGCAUUUUAGUGUGCAUUUCUCCUAAUAUACACAGUUGUAUGCAAUUUUGCUCAAUGCACACAUUUUUGUAACUUAUUUUCCCUAAUAGGAUGCAUUUUUAUGCACACUUUUCCCUAUUAUACACGUUUUCAUUGCAGAACUGCAUCCCAAAAUCUGGACAAGUGUGAAUUUCAAAGGAUAGCUGAAUUUCUGCUUGUGUACUAUUUCAGAAAUUGCAAGUUAUGUUGGUUUGCACUAAAAUGAAAACUGUACUGAUUUUCUCCCAUAUCCCUACUUUUGUACUCAGUUGGGGCUAGGUUGAUCUUUGCUUGCUGAUUUUCUUGUUUGUUUGAGCAGCACAAAGAGAAGAGGUUUCUGCCCCUCUCUUUGGCUAAUAAGCAUGAUUUUUCCUCUUUUCUUCCUAGUGUGUCACACAACUGAAUAGUGUUGUGUGCCGCCCCAGUCUCGGAGCGAUGAGAGAUCUCCAGGGGUCCCAGCACUUACCCAGCAUUUGAUUUCCUAAGAAAGAAGGAAUGGGAAUGGAAGGAUCCAAUACGAUACAGAGGAGGAGGAUGCCGAGAGUGGGAGUGAGUGGGUGCAGGGAAGCUGCUUACAACUGUCCUGCUCACUUCUUCCUGAGCUGUCAGCGCUGUUGUGUCUCUCCGGUUGUGAUCUUAUACUCACUAAGCUGGGAGCAAAUCCUAUUGAACUUAGUGGGGGUUACUUCUGCGUGGAAAUGCCUAAGAUUGCCUCAUGGGCAUGCCCAUCUUCUCUGUGCUGCUGCUUCUGACACGCAUCUCAUUCAUUAUCUCCCCACUGAUCUCUUUGUAGGACUUACCUCUGGUCCCAUUAUACUUACUGCUAGUUAUUACUGUACAACCUCUGGUAUGGAUAUGCAGUAACAACAAGAGCAGCAAUAAGUAUGAUGAUGUUAUCAGUCCUAAUUACUAAUUACUGGUAUGAUGGCAACAAUUAUGAUAAUAACAAACAUCAGCAACUAUGAUGAUAUCAAUUCUAGGGACUAUUAGCAGGUAUUGCAGCAUCUUAGACCUCAUUCACACUUUACUCUCUUAAUCAGAGCAAUACACACAACCCUUAGGGGAGGAGCCACAGCUCAGUAGUAAAGCACAUGCUUUGUAUGCAGAAGGUCCCAGGUUCAGUGCAGAUCAUUGUCACUCCCUUCCAGAUGCUGCUAUUUGUAUUUUUUUUAAGUGUACAUGAAAUGCAAAGUACCAUGUCUAGUUUGGCCUUUAGACAAUCUACUCACAGAGGAAAAAAAGUUGUAUAAUUCAUUGUAUGUUUGUAAACAGUUUAGAAGCCAUUCUGACA